CUAUAAAUGGUUCUUUGAUAUGC
rnacentral:piRNA from 1 species